rnacentral:rRNA from 1 species
GCAGUCGAACGGUGAAGCCCAGCUUGCUGGGUGGAUCAGUGGCGAACGGGUGAGUAACACGUGAGCAACCUGCCCCCUACUUCGGGAUAAGCCUUGGAAACGAGGUCUAAUACCGGAUAUGAACACUUGUCGCAUGGCGGGUGUUGGAAAGUUUUUCGGUGGGGGAUGGGCUCGCGGCCUAUCAGCUUGUUGGUGGGGUAAUGGCCUACCAAGGCGUCGACGGGUAGCCGGCCUGAGAGGGCGACCGGCCACACUGGGACUGAGACACGGCCCAGACUCCUACGGGAGGCAGCAGUGGGGAAUAUUGCACAAUGGGCGAAAGCCUGAUGCAGCGACGCCACGUGAGGGAUGACGGCCUUCGGGUUGUAAACCUCUUUCAGCAGGGAAGAAGCGAAAGUGACGGUACCUGCAGAAGAAGCGCCGGCUAACUACGUGCCAGCAGCCGCGGUAAUACGUAGGGCGCAAGCGUUGUCCGGAAUUAUUGGGCGUAAAGAGCUCGUAGGCGGUCUGUCGCGUCUGGUGUGAAAUCCCAUGGCUCAACUGUGGGCUUGCAUCGGGUACGGGCAGACUAGAGUGCUGUAGGGGAGACUGGAAUUCCUGGUGUAGCGGUGGAAUGCGCAGAUAUCAGGAGGAACACCGAUGGCGAAGGCAGGUCUCUGGGCAGUUACUGACGCUGAGGAGCGAAAGCAUGGGGAGCGAACAGGAUUAGAUACCCUGGUAGUCCAUGCCGUAAACGUUGGGCACUAGGUGUGGGGCGGGUUCCACUCGUUCUGUGCCGCAGCUAACGCAUUAAGUGCCCCGCCUGGGGAGUACGGCCGCAAGGCUAAAACUCAAAGGAAUUGACGGGGGCCCGCACAAGCGGCGGAGCAUGCGGAUUAAUUCGAUGCAACGCGAAGAACCUUACCAAGGCUUGACAUGUACGAGAAAGCCCCAGAGAUGGGGUUCUCUUUGGACACUCGUACACA